rnacentral:rRNA from 1 species
GACGAACGCUGGCGGCGUGCUUAACACAUGCAAGUCGAACGGAAAGGCCCUGCUUUUGUGGGGUGCUCGAGUGGCGAACGGGGGAGUAACACGUGAGUAACCUGCCCUUGACUUUGGGAUAACUUCAGGAAACGGGGGCUAAUAUCGUAUAGGAGCUCCUGCUGCAUGGUGGGGGUGGGAAAGUUUCGGCGGGUGGGGAUGGACUCGCGGCUGAUCAGCUUGUUGGUGGGGUAGGGGCUUACCAAGGAUUUGACGGGUAGCCGGCCUGAGAGGGUGACCGGCCACAUUGGGCCUGCGAUACGGCCCAGUCUCCUACGGGAGGCAGCAGUGGCGAAUAUUGCACAAUCGGCGGGAGCCUGAUGCAGCAACGCCGCGUUCGGGAUGACGGCCUUUGGGUUGUAAACCGCUUUCGCCUGUGACGAAGCGUGAGUGACGGUAAUGGGUAAAGAAGCACCGGCUAACUACGUG